rnacentral:tRNA from 1 species
UGCAAGGUACCUAAUUUAAAGGGCCGCCUUGAUACGGCGGCCAUGCCUGCCGGCCCCUGCAA